rnacentral:lncRNA from 1 species
GCAAAUGCUGUUCUACUAAAUUGAAGUCAUUUGAAAAUGGCUGUUUGGGUCAGGGAAAGACCCUCAACCAUUUCCCUGCUGAUCUGCACCUGAACCCAACGGUGAAGAGAAAGAGACAGAGAUAGUGAAGUAAACAGAAGCCUGUUAAUUACUUUUUAAAGCUGGUGAGAAUGUUGUUGACCGGUUGCAGCUGAAAAGCAAUAAGAUCUGUGGAUAAUCAUCCUUUAUCUCCUUCUGGCCUCAUAAGCACAGAUACUUGAGAAGGGUCUGUGAUAUUAGUUAACACUCUAAAUUUAUCACAUAUUCACGUUAAGAAGAGUUUAAUGCAUUUUUUUCAGUGUGACAUUGUGAUGGGAUUCAUAAUAAGAAAUAUGUAUUUGAGCUUCGACCUGGUUCCUGGCACAGAGCUCCUAAAACCCUUGGAAUUUCUUAAGAGAUGAGAGCGACAAAGGUGUCUUGUUAUGCUAAUGAGGUGACUUUUGGAAGCUUCUAAGUAUGGGGGGAGUGAUUAGAGAAUUGAAACUUUGAUUCUGACACCCUGACCUUCAGGAAGGAGAGAGGGGUUGGAGGUUGAGUCAAUCACCAAUGGCCAAAGAGUCAAGUAAUCACACCUGUGUGAUGAAGCCUGCAUAAAAACCCAAAAGGACAGUGUUUAGAGAACGUCCUGGUUUGUGGAUAUGCGGAGGUGCUGGGAGACUGGUGCUCCGGGAUAGGGCUUGGAAGCUCCAUGUGCCUUUCCACAUACCUUGCCCUACAAAUCUCUUCCAUGUGGAUGUUCAUCUGUAUCCUGUAUCAUAUCCUUUUAUAACAAACUGCUGAAGUCAAGAAACUGGGCCACAGCCAAGCACACAUGCCUGAUGAGCGACAGAGGUGAUGCCAUCUGACUGCAGAGCGCAAGAGCCAAACCUUUGCACUAGUCACCCUCCUGACUCCAGGAGCAAACUAUGGCAUGCUCCUUUUUAAAGAAAGUAUGAGACUUUUCAGGAGGUAUUUUUCCUGGAUAUAUAAAUCAAUUCCAUUCAUAGCAAAGUGGCUUCAGAGAUGACUGCAAAGUAAAUUUUCCAUCACCCAAGCCUCUCCUUCCUUGACGCAUUUUCGGAUGGAAUGGUCUGUGCACAUCUAUCAAGUCCAUUUGGUCUAAUGCGCCAUUUAAGGCCAGUGUUUCCUUAUUGAUUUUCUGUCUGGAUGAUCUAUCCAUUGAGCUCAGUCUCUUUCAUGUCCCUUCUCUUAAUGAAACAUGUCUACUGUUCCAAAAGCCACAUGGUUGCUUCAGAAUGUUCCUCCCUGGCUCCUCUCCAUACAAAGCUGCCACUGGGGUUUCGAUUUCCCCGUCCACUCAACCCUCCGUCUCAGCGGCAGGAAGACACGCCCUCUCCUCUGGCUCCAGCUUGCUGCCAAAGAAGCCCAUUUAACCAGGAAUUCUGCAUCGCAAUAACCUUGUCUAUUCUUCAGGACUAGGGGGAAGACUGUUUUUGGUUUCUAUGCACUGUGUAUACUUUAAUCGAUGUUUUCUUCUAACAACCAGGUGAUUCUGGCUCUUUGAAGAAUAUGUAAAAUUAAAGGGUUAAUUG